AACGAACGCUGGCGGCAGGCUUAACACAUGCAAGUCGAACGGGCGUAGCAAUACGUCAGUGGCAGACGGGUGAGUAACACGUGGGAACCUUCCUCGUAGUACGGAACAACUCAGGGAAACUUGAGCUAAUACCGUAUACGUCCGAGAGGAGAAAGAUUUAUCGCUAUGAGACGGGCCCGCGUCCGAUUAGGUAGUUGGUGGGGUAACGGCCUACCAAGCCGACGAUCGGUAGCUGAUCUGAGAGGAUGAUCAGCCACACUGGGACUGAGACACGGCCCAGACUCCUACGGGAGGCAGCAGUGGGGAAUCUUGGACAAUGGGCGCAAGCCUGAUCCAGCCAUGCCGCGUGAGUGAAGAAGGCCUUAGGGUUGUAAAGCUCUUUUGCCAGGGACGAUAAUGACGGUACCUGGAGAAUAAGCCCCGGCAAACUUCGUGCCAGCAGCCGCGGUAAUAC
rnacentral:rRNA from 1 species